GAUGAACGCUAGCGGCAGGCCUAACACAUGCAAGUCGAGGGGUAACUAGAGUGAUAGCAAUAUUACUUUGGCUAGACCGGCGCACGGGUGCGUAACACGUAUGCAACCUACCUUAUACUGGGGAAUAACUUCGAGAAAUCGGCGCUAAUACCCCAUAACAUUGCGAAGAGGCAUCUCUUUGCAAUUAAAGCUCCGGCGGUAUAAGAUGGGCAUGCGUCCAAUUAGCUAGUUGGUGAGGUAACGGCUCACCAAGGCUACGAUUGGUAGGGGUUCGGAGAGGAUGAUCCCCCACACUGGUACUGAGACACGGACCAGACUCCUACGGGAGGCAGCAGUGAGGAAUAUUGCGCAAUGGACGAAAGUCUGACGCAGCCAUGCCGCGUGCAGGAUGACGGCCCUAUGGGUUGUAAACUGCUUUUGUACGGGAAUAAACCCUUCUACGUGUAGGAGGCUGAAGGUACCGUAAGAAUAAGCACCGGCUAACUCCGUGCCAGCAGCCGCAGUAA
rnacentral:rRNA from 1 species